rnacentral:rRNA from 1 species
CCUACGGGUGGCAGCAGUGAGGAAUAUUGGUCAAUGGGCGGAAGCCUGAACCAGCCAAGUCGCGUGAGGGAUGAAGGUUCUAUGGGUCGUAAACCUCUUUUAUCAGGGAAUAAAGUGCGGGACGUGUCCCGUUUUGUAUGUACCUUAUGAAUAAGGAUCGGCUAACUCCGGGCCAGCCACCGCGGUAAUACUGAGGAUCCGAGCGUUAUCCGGAUUUAUUGGGUUUAAAGGGUGCGUAGGGGGCCUUUUAAGUCAGCGGGGAAAGUGUGGGGGUCAACCAUAGAAUUGCCGUUGUAACUGGGAGGCUUGAGUAUGCUUGAGGCAGGCGGAAUGCGUGGUGUAGCGGUGAAAUGCUUAGAUAUCACGCAGAACCCCGAUUGCGAAGGCAGCCUGCCAAGCCAUGACUGACGCUGAUGCACGAAAGUGUGGGGAUCAAACAGGAUUAGAUACCCUUGUAGUC